ACUGAAUGGAGAAUAUCUCUUAGACCUUGGCUGUCUUCUGGAAAGUAGUGCUAUGCAGUCAGAGAGUCCCUUCACUGUUGGAUAGAUUGCGUCUACCCUAAUCAAACUGAACACUAAUAGUUGCUAUCUGCCAACAACUACAAAGCAUGUUUUGUGGGAUUUACUGUGGCCUUUCUCAGAGGAAGAAGGUCAUGGACAUUAAAGACCUCAAGUCCUGUGGCUAAAUCAGUGUUGUUCAUCUCCUGAAUUCCUUUAAUUGCUUGCUUCUACUGGAGUCAAAUAGGGUAUCCUCAACCUCCAAUUUAUGGCUUUGUGUUUAUUCUUUAGUGCUUAUUUCUCAGGCAGCUCCUCAUCCCAUCUGAUCCCUUCAUCCUGUUUUUGUCAUCUGUUCUUAACACACAUCAGAAUUAGUCUGUAAUUCUAGGUAGGAAACUUGUCUUUAUCUGCCUAAUUUUUUGGAUUCUUCUGAUGCAAACUUAAGCAUAGAGCUAGUGUUAAGGACAGACAAAUCUACUUUUAGGUGAGAGAUACUUUUGUGUUAAGGUUUUUUGUUUAAUUUCAGUUUCUGCCUCAGUGUUUUUAGUGUCAUCUUUUUCUGUCAAGAAAAAUCAAGUUGAAGCAACAUGACAGAAUGCAAAUCAGCAGCAGUAUACUCUUUUAAAAUGUGUAAUAGCUAAAAGCAUGAGGUUCAACAUUUUUAGUUGCUGUACUAUUUCAUUCUAUGAAUUCCUAUCAAGAACUAAUAUUUAAAAGUGUAAAUGAGAGGAAAAAAUAGAUUGCAUUUACUAUGUGUCUUUUUAAUAUGCAAAACUGAGUGUGAACAGAGAAAAAGAUUUAUAAUUAGAUAAAUGAAUCAUUCUUGAUGCAUUAGGAUAUGACUUGUGCUUAAGUAAUUCCAGAUAGAAUGAUGUCCCUCUCAGUUAUGUAGAAAGCAAGAAAAAAGUGCUGUGGAUGAAAUUCUAAUAGUUCUAAUGUUGAGCCAAUAUAAACCAAUGUCUCAGACUGUAUGCCACUUGAACUCAAAAGCAGGCAUUCACUUUUCCUUUUCCUAAGAAUAGCAUUUGCCUGAUAUAAAAAGUUAACUCAAGAAAAACAAGAAAAAAAGGGGGGGGGGGGAGGUGUUCACCUGAAUCUUGAUGGUAUCAAGUUGUGCAACGUGGAAGGACUGUGAAUGGCUGUAUUCCAGGGUGCUGAGCUGUAACCUUGCACUGUACCUGAAUGCAGAAUAGCCAGAUGCUGCCCUUUCUGUGACUGCCUCUAUCACAGACUGCUGAGAACAGAUCCAUGCUCACCUUGAUGAGCACAGAGGUAUCUGUGUGCCUAGACAAACUAAUGCUGAUGCUACUAGAGGACAUCUGAGGACAUCUGCAGCACCUAGAUACUGAGGAAACAGCAGUGGCUAGGGAAAGCCCAUGGAAUUCAGUUAUUUUCUGAUCUUGAAUGAUUAAGUAGGCUAUUUGAAUCUUAUUUUAACAUAGUUUUUGUUUUUCUCCUUAAUCAAGUAUUAUAUACUCCUCCAGCUACUAUGCCUUUGGCUCUGGUGAACUGUGGAUCUUUACUCAUUCUUGGUUGAAAUAAGAUGAAAUUGGGCAACAUGCACUAACAGCGUUGCUCAGUGGUUUGCACUCAUUGCAAAAUGUGCCAAAACAUGUUAUUGUUCUAGAAAUGGAGAUCUAAGACCUACUCCUUUUGCCUGGUUUCUGUUGCACAACCAAGAGCCUGCUCAGUGAUUUCUUCUGACCUCAGUGGGGGAUCUUAGGGCUGGAGUGGGCUGAGAGACAGAGUCUUCAUAAUCACUCUUGAGCAUUGCAGGAUGAAAAGAUUAAAGAGAUUAAAAAUAGUUUACGUGGUAGAAAAAUGCCUUACUCAUCAAGAUUGAAAAGCUUCCCUGGUCAGGUUGGUUCUUGUGAAGUUGUUUACAAGUGAAACUGAUGUGAAAGGUCCUAUAGACCUUAGGGCUUUGCAGUUCAGGCUCUUCAUGUGGUGUGGGGCAUCUAAUUCCUUGCCAGACUUGCUUUGAAGAGAUUUUGAAUUAUCUUGACUGUGGGUUGGGGUAUGUUUAGGGCUCCCUGUCUUGCUUCAUAUGGCUUUAUUUAUGUAAAAAGAAAAUCCUGUUGCUGUUGAAGGCAAUGUCCAUAGUGGUGUAGACAUCUCUUACCCAUUUCUUAAUCUGAGGUGGCCAACUCAGUUUAUAUUACCUGUGUAGCUACUAAGUUUCAGCUCAGGAUGGUAAUAUGUGUUCCAGACAAUAAAGAAACCAGAGGCUAAAACUGCACUGCUGUUUUGCAGUCCUAAGUGAUGAAUGUACUUACAAUGCAAUAAGGGAUUAAAGCAUUGAUAGUCU
ensembl:lncRNA